CUUUGCUUGGCGUGAUCCAAUACAUUUGUUAACUUGAGGCAUGUAAUGUGGAAUCAUCUGUAUAUUUCAGAGGGCUUUCAAGAGUUGAAUACAGAAUGUGUUGCAUACUUUGAAACAAAAAUUUUUUAUCCUGACUAAAGAAGUGUUAUCUUUGUAGAUUUCAUUAUCCAUUACACAGAGACUUCCUUUCAGGUUAUCUUUCCUAUGACAUAUAACAGUCUUU